rnacentral:lncRNA from 1 species
AUGAACCUAACGAGUGUGCAGAGGGCUUGGGUUCCCGGAGGCCGCCCCGGGGCUGGAAAGAAUGACCCAGGCGGCCCAGGCUCAGCCAGGUGUCUUCGCAAGGGUGGCAGGCGCCACUGCCCCCUGCCCGCACGGCUGACGGCUGGGGGUUCGGCUGGGACUUGUGACCAGAGCUCCUCGGUUUCCCUGUCCCGGCGCUGUGUGGCCCCGGUUUGCAGCAAGAAGCUGGAUCCCGAGGGAGACGCAGACGGCGCCAGCCGUGCUGAGAUGGAGGUUCGCGUUCUGUGGGCGAAGCAGCCAGCCACACAGCAGAGAGCACCGUGGACAGCCUUGGGACAGGCCAGACACACGUGUUCAUUACGUGAACGCCCACGGAACGCCUGCCCAGGGCUCCCGUGCGUGAGGACGUCCGUCAGCACGGGGCUCCGGGGGCCUUGGUCUCCUCUUGGAGGGAAUGGACAGGAACCCUGCAGGAUGUGC